AGCGAACGCUGGCGGCAGGCCUAACACAUGCAAGUCGAACGAAGUCUUCGGACUUAGUGGCGGACGGGUGAGUAACACGUGGGAACGUGCCUUUAGGUUCGGAAUAACUCAGGGAAACUUGUGCUAAUACCGAAUGUGCCCUUCGGGGGAAAGAUUUAUCGCCUUUAGAGCGGCCCGCGUCUGAUUAGCUAGUUGGUGAGGUAAAGGCUCACCAAGGCGACGAUCAGUAGCUGGUCUGGGAGGAUGAUCAGCCACAUUGGGACUGAGACACGGACCAAACUCCUACGGGAGGCAGCAGUGGGGAAUCUUGCGCAAUGGGCGAAAGCCUGACGCAGCCAUGCCGCGUGAAUGAUGAAGGUCUUAGGAUUGUAAAAUUCUUUCACCGGGGACGAUAAUGACGGUACCCGGAGAAGAAGCCCCGGCUAACUUCGUGCCAGCCGCCGCAGUAACAC
rnacentral:rRNA from 1 species